rnacentral:rRNA from 1 species
GAUGAACGCUGGCGGCGUGCCUAAUACAUGCAAGUCGAGCGAACGGACGAGAAGCUUGCUUCUCUGAUGUUAGCGGCGGACGUGUGAGUAACACGUGGAUACCCUACCUAUAAGACUGGGAUAACUUCGGGAAACCGGAGCUAAUACCGGAUAAUAUUUUGAACCGCAUGGUUCAAAAGUGAAAGACGCUCUUGCUGUCACAUAUGGAUGGGUCCGCGCUUCAUUAGCUAGUUGGUAAGGCAAUGGCUUACCAAGGCGACGAUCAGUGGCCGACCUGAGAGGAGGAUGAGCCACACUGGGACUGAGACACGGCCCAGGCUCCUACGGGAAGCAGCGGUGGGUAAUUUUCCGCAAUGGGCGAAAGCGUGACGGAGCAUUGGCGCGUGGAGUUAGAAGGCCCACGGGUCGUGAACUUCUGUUCCCGGAGAAGAAGCAAUGACGGUAUCUGGGGAGUAAGCAUCGGCUAACUCUGUG